CGUAAUUUGGUUGGGUCUUGGCUUGUUUCAUGUUGCCGAUAAACGAGAGGCUUUUUGUUUUUUUUUUAAAGAGUACGGGUCCUGCUGCAGUUAGUUCAUUGGAAAAUUCAGUUGCUUCUCAGAGUGAUCAAGGAGAGUCUGCUUUUGUCUUUUUUCUGUUAACAAUCAAUCUGUCCAAUAGAGUUGCAAUAAUGCCAAAAAGAAAGACUGCAGAUCAAGGUGACAUGAGGCAGGAGGUGAUUGUCUUUACUUUCAGCAUCUCUCCAGGAGCCAAAGAGAAGAUCAGCUAGACUGUCUGCUAAUUCUGCUGUGAAUCCAUCAGGACCUGGUCUUUUCUUUGUUGAAUGUUGUCCCAUGUGUAGCUGAGAAGAAUAUGUAUUCUGAUGUGGUUGGGUGGAACACUCUAUAAACAUCUACUAACUCCAGUUGCUCACAGGUUUGAAGUUCACAUUGAAGUCUGCAAAAAGAAUAGUUACCCUUGUUUUUUUUCUGGGUUCCUGUUGUGUGGAAUACUGUUCUCCAUCCUUUGACUUUUAAUUUAUGAGUUUCCUUUUGGGUCAGAUGUGUUCUUGUAUACAGCAUAUUGUGAGAUCCUGUUUCUUGAUUCAUUCUGUCAACCUAUUUAUUUUGACAGGUGAAUUGAGGCCAUUUACAUUUAUGGAUAUCACUGAUAUGUACUGGCUCGACUUUGCCAUGUGUUGUAGUUAGGGGUUGUACACAGAGAACAGUUAGGAUCAAGACAUGGAGUUUAUAAUAUUAUUUUUAUAAUGAUCAUCAGGAGUUAACACAGGAAAAUGCAGGAAAUCUAUCUGCAACACCAAAGACAUAGAGUUUUUAGUCAAGAGCCUAAACCCCACAGCAGUGUCCCACAUGAAUCCAGAUAAAAACCCAGAGGUCAGGACAAUGCCUCCUAUGAGUCCAACUGGAAGUCCAGAGCCCACAAGAAGGACUCACAUCAGUCUUUUCUAUGGAUCCGUGCUAGGAAGACCCAAGGGUCAGCAGUGGAAGCCAGAAAGUCUAUGCCAGCAGGAUGAAGAAGCUGUGCUGAUGGGAUGAGGGUUCUAUGUUGGAACCAAGAAGUCACACUCACAACAAAGGCCAGGGCUAUCUUGAAAGGCACCACAGCCAUCCUCAGUGGCACAGGGGCCCUGAGCUCCUCUGACGACAAGCACAGUUGGGUACAUGCCAGGAAGCAGGAGUUCAUCCUGGAGACCAAGAGGCACACAUGUUCCCCUCCAGAGCCAGGAAGCAAUUCUCGAUGUGAAGACCAGAGCUCCUCCAGGAGAACGAACAGCUCAAACAGCAACUCGUAGGAGAAUCCACAACAACACAUUAACGCCUCAAUACCUCAACACCUCCCUUCUUCUCUACAUAUUUAUCCUGGCAACUUUCCUUAGGUGGAGCAUCUUCACUCAAUGCCAUGCUGAUGUAAUCCAGCUGGUGUUAAAUUGAUUACCAGUUCUUAAUCCAUAACACCAUGUUAUAUUCCAGUUGUUUGCUUUCUGAUUUUUCUCCUUGCUUAAUUGCUUGUCCUACCUGGUGGUUUCUUCUUCUUGUUUUUCUGGGGAUUGUGGUCAUUUUUAUCUCUAUCUAAUAUGUCUUUCAAUACUCUUUCUAGGGUUGGUUUGGUGGACAUGAAUUUCUUCAGUUGUUCUGCAUUGUGGAAGCAUCUUUUUUCUCCAUUAAGUUUGAAUGCAAGUUUUUCUGGGUAUAUCAGUCUGGGUUGAAAUUUCUUUUCUUUGAGAAUUUGAAAUACCUCACUCCAAGCUUGUCUUGAAUUGAGGGUUUGUGUUGAAAUGGCUGCCGCAAUUUUGAUGGAAUUUCCUUGAAAGCUGUGUUUUUUCUCUAACAGCUUUUAGUAUUCUGUUUUCAUGCUGCAUAUCUGGGAUCUUAAUUAUUAUAUUUCUAGAUGUAGAUUUAUGUUGUGAUUGUUUGGUGUUCUAUAUGCCUCACCUGCAUAUCAGAUUUUUCCUCAUGUCUGUGAAAUUUUCUGCUAUUACUUCUGUGAAUAUAUUAGUUGUGUCAUUUGCAUUUGCUCCUGCAUCUUCACUGAUGCCUAUUAGUCUUAUAUUGUUUCUCUUAGCAUUAUCUUGAAGCUGCUGGAUUGUCAUUUCAUGCUCCUUUGUUGUUUUUAUAAGUUUUGUCCUUUCAUGAUCACUAAUUUUGAUUCUGUGCUCAAAGUCUGAAAUUCUAUCCUCAGCUCCAUUUAAGUGCUUGUUCUAGCUUUCAAUAGAAUUUUUUUGUUUCUUGGUCUCUCUUUGAGUUUGUUUUAUGAAUUCUGCUUGUUUUCUAUAUUGUUCAUUCAAAGUUUCAGUUUCCCAUGAUCCUGUACUUUUUAUCUAUUUGUUCUCUACCUAUUCUGAGCAACUUGUUUACCAAGUUUGUUUUUUCUGAUUUACAUGAGAGAUUAAUUUUGAUUUGAUUUUCUCUGUAGCCUCAUGGAGUUGUUUUUUAUUUCACUUGCUAUCUUUUCAUAGAUUUCUGGUGUGUUAUUUUUGAAAUCCUCUAUUUCAAUAUCUCCUGUACUUGCUCCUGUGGACUAGAUGUUUGAGAUUGCAUUUUGCUUUUUUGUUUUACUGUUUUCUUCUUUUUGGUUAGUAUUUUAUCCUUCAAUCCCACUAGUGUCAACUGUUGGUAGUGUGUAUCUUGGGGUCCUACUGUAAGGUUGGUGUUUGUCCAAUUGCUGGCUCCCACAAUGAAGAGGUGGAUCAGUCAACCUGAAUUCCCCCUGAAGGGCCCGUUGUUGAAUCCUAUGGUCUUCCUAGGCUUACAAGUCUAGGAGUACUGAUGAAAAUCAAUCCCUAGUUCCUGCUUUUAUUAUGUCUUCAGGUUGUUCAGAGUCACCAGAUCUCCCUGUUUGUAGUGUUGUCUCGUCUGGGACUCUACUGUGUCUCUGGGUGUCCCACAGGCCCCCUUGAUUUUCUCCACGUUUGGGAAGGCCUAUUUGGCCCCCUCAUCAACCUACCUGAUAUUCUCUGUGUGGAGGAAAGACUCACCCACUCACUUGCCAAGCUUGCUUAUGGCCUAUUUCUGGAGUGGGCUUCUCUGUUGCUCCUGUUUACCCACUGAAGGUGGCAAACUCUAUUUCUAUUUUAGGGGCAAAAUCACCUCAGUGGUGGAAACCUGCUGAGUUCUUCUUACUGAGUCUCCCCUCGAUACUUCAUGGUUAACCCUCUGUAGUCCAAGGUUCUGGAGGGAGGUAUGGGAGCUGAAGAUCAACAGCAUUGCUAGAUUCAGGAUGUGGGCUGGUACCUGAUCGCAGUGGUGGUACUAUGGAGGCACACACCAUGGGUUGGGCCCCACAAGGGUCUCAGUUCUGGCCUCAUCCCAUGCACACCUCUGGUUGGAGUUCCUGGGUCCUGUGAGGUGGUCUUCUGAAACUGCAGGAGUCACAGGAGAAACCUGGUCUAGACUUGUGAUAAUAGACAGUAGUAAUCCUUGUGGGUUUAGUGUUAGCUAUAUUUUUGUGUGGCUACUAGUAUCAAGCCCUCUCAUGGAAAAGUUUUUUCUUCAGGUAUUUCUUCUGUGAGUAGGAGAUUCUUGGUUUGUGUCUUUUACAAGAUCUUACCUUCCCAGUUAUUUAAGAGUGUGAUGUUGUUAUCUGUUUGGCUCAGUUCUUGGUGCAUUUGUAUAGGGCAAUGUUGAAGUUAUUGCUUCAGAGCUACCCAGUAUUUUUAUGGAAGGGAAAAAAUUGAUUACAACAGAUAUGAUAUACUAGAUAAGUAGCAAAAUUAGCUGUAACAAUAGCACCAAACACAAUUUAGAAACUGACAAAUUGUAGUAACUGUUGGUUUUGUACCUUUUUGAAUUGAUAUCUCAUAAUUUAGUGCCAUUUGGCCUGGACUCACUGUGUAGUCCAGGCUGGCCUUGAUUCUGAAGCAAUCCUCUUGUCGUAGCCUCCUGAGUUCCAGGAUUACAGUAGUGUGACGCAAUACGCAACUGAUCUUAUGCAUUGUAGAUUAUUGUAUCAGUGUCUGUAGUUGCAUAAGAGAACCAAUUGUGAAUUAGGGGUUUGUAUGCAAAGUAUUUCCUCUUGGCAGAGUAACCACUCUGUAACCUGGACAUUUAGGGAGAAUAGUGUAUAAAGCAAAGAUAGUAAGGAAGUAGAAGAAGGCUGUUGAACAAAGGAUGAUCAUGCAAGAUUUGUGAAACCAGAAAAAAGGGUAUAAAAGAAUGGAGAAUUAUUUGAGGGAUUAUCUGAACAUAGUCUCUGUGUUUGGGAGAUAGCAUUUUCUGUUGUUGGUGUUCUCCCCAGCCAUUUAAAAAAGAGACAAAAAGAGCAAAAGAAAAAAAAUGAAAGAAAGGAGAAAAAUCAGAUAAAAAUGCCAGUUGUCUCUUCCUGGAUUCAUUCUGAGCUGCUGGCCAGUCCCUUGGAGGCCUCAGUCACCUAUUGACUCAUAUUGUUGUUGUUACUUUGGACUUUUCACACCACUGAUUUCACAAGCCCAUCUUGUGCACCUUUGUUGGGAUACUACUGAGUUGGUAGCAUUCCUUCUGGUCUCUGAUCAUUCUGAAGGAGUUUACCUCAAUAGUGACAGUAGUGAGAGGAGGGGCUGCCUUCCUUUGGCAUGGCUCACCUGGGUUUCUGCACUAGUGGAGAGACAAUGAAAGGGGUCUUUCUCCUACACGCAGCUCAUUACUUCUUUAAAAACUGUUUUAAUUAUUAGAAUUAUUUUAUGUUUCAUAUAUAGUUUAGACUAAGCUUUCAGUGAAAAUGUUUUCUGAAAUUUUUACAUGCAUUGUAUUAAACCUACAGAUAAGUUUGUGAAGAACAUUUUUAAUGUGUUGAGUUUUUGAUACAAGAAUAUAAAUAAUCUCUCCAUUUAUCUUUUAUUAAAACAUGAUUUAUUAUUGUUUAUUAUGGAUAUUAUUCUUUGCAUUAGAUUAUUAAAAUCUUUUACUAAUAAUAAAAAAUUGUAAUUUUGGUCCAUUGAGCAUUUUUUAUCAUUUUCUUGCUUUUUGGUCUUCCUUAUAUAUUUUAGAUUUUACUACCUUAAUAGUUGUAUACUUUGCAAAUAUUUUCUUUAAAAUUUUGGGUUGGCUCCUCAGUCUACUGAGUACUUUGCUAGAAAGAACUAUUUUCAUAUGAUGCAAUCCCAUUCAAUUAUUUAAGCUUUUGUUGCUUAUACUUUUAGAAUUAUAUCCAAGCCACCUUUCCUCAAACCAAUGUUUUUGAACAUUUUAUUGUUUUCUUCCACUAGUUUUACAAUUUCAAGGGUUACAGUUUAGUGUUCAGUUCAUUUUGUGUUGAUUUCAUAAAAUAUAUACCAGCUCGAAUGACAUAAUGCAGUAUGCAGACACUGAAACAAAGAGGACUGGAGACCAGUUUUCUUCCCACAAGAAACAAGAAAAUGAUCUGAAGAUGGCUGGAAAGAUAAAGCAAGUAUAGAGAUUUGCAUUAUGCAACAUUAUCACAAAACUGUAAAUAUCAACAUUAUCACAAAACUGUAAAUUUCAGAGGUGAUUUUACUACUUUUAUUCUCCCUUGUUUGUCUGAUUGCUAUCCCUUUCCUGUCUGGUUAGAUAUCAUCUGGUUCUGUUUUGAAUUUUAUGUUUAUUUUUAUAUUUGGGCUUUUUUUCCUUUCUCCUCUCUUUGCCUGGUGUCCUCAUUUUUCUUUCUUUUCUUCUUUUUUCAUUCUCUUCAUUUUCCCUUCCUUUCUUCUAUUCAAUAUUUAGGUUUUUUACAUUUCUUUUUCAUCUUCUAUUGCUGUUUUUACUCUUUCCUCAAGUACUACUUGAAUUUAAGCUUUCAAGGGGGUAAAUAUUGUCUCUGCCCUUUCUGAUUACUCCUUCACAUUCUAUAUCAUUAUUUCCCUCCUGUAUCCCCCACUUUCCCAAAACUUGGGCAGUCAUCCAUUGAUCUCCAGUCUUGAUACAAUAUUUGACCUCAUUCAUCAUUUUAUCCUGUUCUCUAUCUCUUGCAACCUUCCUGCACCCAAAGAAGAGUAAAAAUCACUCCACUGAGAGGAAAAGUCACUGCAUACAAGUGCAUAGCAUAUGUUUGAUUUUGUUAUCUAACUUUAGAAUUUUCUCAUAUCGUCAGAGAUAGCAAGUUAAUCUUUACCAUAGUUUGCCAGUAGUUAAGCUGUACUUGAAACUAUUGUUAUUACUAAUUGUACUAUAUUAGCCAGGAGGUUGUACAUGUUAUAAUCAGUUUUUCUAGACUGUAUGAUAACACAGUGACAAUACAGGGUCAUAAUCAUCACCAGAGCCCAGUAUGAAAGGAUUGGGCACUGAGACAAAUUGGGAAGGUAGGUUCUUGGGCUAUCUAUAUAGAACCACCUACAACCAGGGGACAUCCCUGAAGAACAGACAUCUCUGAGGGAAGCCUCAAUACUAGUGGUAAAGCUAUUUAUCAUAAGAAAUUGGCAAGCAUCAACAUAGAAAACAAAAUAAAAUUUAAAAAUAUAAAAAUAGAAAAUGAUAAGACACAAAAAGGAAAAUGCAACUCCAGACCAUCUGCCCACCCAAGACAAGCCCAGGACUCAAUGAGAUAGAUGAAAUUGAAAGCCAAACACUAGAUCUUUGUGAAAUGAUAGCAACAAAAGUUAAAAAAAAACUAGUGGAAAAGACUAUAGAGAAAAUAAUCCCUCAGAUACAAAAAGAAAUGAUGUUUAUAUCAAUGAUAUUACAGAAAAUACAGAUAAAAAAUAGAUGAGCUUAGAAAAAUGAUGUAAACAAAGAAUGCUCAAAAUAGGAAAGAAAUGGAAUCUGUGAAACAGAUGAAACAGAAAUUUAAGAGAUUAAAACCUCCACUGAAUAUAUAUUCAACAAUAUAUAUUCAUUGAAUCAAGGAGAGGAUAGAAUUUUGAAUCUUCAAGAAAAAGUUGCAGAUAGUGAUCAUGAAAAGAAAGAUGUGUUAAAAACAGCAAGAAACCUUGAAAAAUCCACCAGCUUCAAGAUGAAGCAAUAAAGAAUACCCUAAGUUUGAUUAGAGUCAAUGAGAAAGCUAGACAGCACAAAAGCCAUAAAAAAGCUUUUCACAGAAAUAAUUGCAGAAAACUUCUCAAGUAUAGAUAAACAACUAGACAUAUAAAUAGAUGAAACAUAGAGAACAGCCAUGGACAAAAUAAAACUAUACCAAAAUAUAUAAUAAUCAAGAUACCUGAAAUUCAGCACAAGAACAGAAUAUUUAAAGCUGUUAGAGGAAAGAAAUCACCUCUAAAAUAAAGCCCAUCUGAAUCAUGACAAACUUCUCAGCAUACACCCUCAAAUCAAGAAGAGCAUGGAGUGAAAUAUUUCAAGUCCUGAAAUAGAACAGCUUCCAUUCCAAAGCUAUCUUUCAAAAUUAAUGGAGAAAUAAGGUAUUUCCAAAGGAAAGAAAAAAGGAAGAAAUUCAUUACCACUGAAUCAACCAUACAAAAGUACUGAAAGAUAAUCUAGAUAGAUAUAAAAAUGAUCACAAUUCCAAGAACAAAAGCAGAAAGAAACCACCUGGCAGGGCAAGCAAUUAGUCUCAGGAGAAAUGUAGGGAAACAACAGCAGAAAAAUACCAUGACAAAGAUAAAACCAAUCCAUAUCAAUUACUGCCACCAAUGUAAAUGACCUUGAUUCACCAAUCAAAAGAAACAGAAUGGCAGAAUGGAUCAUAAAACAAGAUCCAACAAUAUGCUGUAUAUGCAAAACAUAUUUAAUUCAAAAAGAAAUUCAUUGACAGAAAGUCAAAGGAUUAAAACAAUGUGACAUAAAACAGGAAACUUGAAAAAGGCAGGGGUACCUAUUCUUUUUGCAGACAAUGUGAAUUUCAAACCAGGAAUGAUCAAAAGUGAUAAAGAAGAUCACUACAUAUUAGUUAGAGGGAAAUAUCAAGAAAAAGUAAUAAUCAUAAAUAUGUAUGAGCCAAAUAUAAGACUAUACAAUAUAUAAGACAAUUAUUAAUAGAUAUGAAAAAUCAAAUAAGCGAUGACACAAUUUCUAUAGGAGAUCUUAAUACCAAAUUGUCACAAAAAGACAGAGCAACUAGACAAAAAAUCAGUAAAAAUUAUCAGAACUGAACCAAACUUAAGAACAAAUGGACUUAGUAGAUGUUUUCACAGUGUUCCACCCAGCAUCAUCAGAAUACACAUUCUUCUCAGCUACACAUGGGUCAUUAUCUAAAACAGACCAUAUACUAGACUACAGAACAUUCUUCAGUAAAUGCAAAGGAACUGAAAUUAUCCAGUGAAUAUUAUCUGACCAUAGUGCAAUUCAACUGGAAAUUAAUUGCAAAAGAAACUGCAAAACUCCAUAAACAUGGAAAUUAAAUAUGACCUUCCAGAAAAAGUAUUACACAUGAAAUUAAGGAAGUUAUUAAACUAUAUCUACAAGAAAACAAAAAUGCAAAUGCAACUUACCAGAACCUGUGGGAUUCAAUGGAAGUUGUCCUAAGAGGUAAAUUUAUAAUGGGAAAUUCUCACAUCGGUAAAACAGAAUAAGCACAAAUAAACAUCCUAAUGUUGUACCUCAAAUAUCUAGAAAAAGAAGAGCAAGCUGAGCCAGAAUUUCAUAUAAAGAAAGACAUUAUAAGGAACAGAGCAAAAAUUAAUACAAAAGAGGCUAAGAAAGCAGGACAAAGAAUGAAUGAAUUGAACAAUUUCUUUUAAAGUAUAUAUAAAAUUGAAAACAGCCAACAUUAUCAAAAAAAAAGGAAAGAAAAGUCUCAAAUUCUUGCAUUGAUGAAUUAAAAGGGUGAAAUCACUACAGAUCCUGUAAAGAUUCAGAGGAUCAUCAAGACCUACUUUGGAAAUCUUAGCUCCUAUAAAACAAAACAGAAAAAAAUGGGCAAAUUCCUAAAUAUGUAUGAAAUCACUAAAGUUGAUUCAAGAAGAUAUAAAAAUUGUGAAUGACAAUAUCAGUUGAUGAGUUUGAAAAUGUAACCAAAACCUUACUGAAAAAUAAAAGCCCAGGUCCUGAUGGAUGCACUCCUGAAUUCUACAAGAAUAUUCCUCUCAAGUUCUUUAAUGAAAUUGAAAGGUAAGCAAUAGCCCCUAACUUAUUCCUGUACGCAAGUAUUACCAAAACCAGAGAAAGCCCCAAACAAUAAAAGAAAAAUACGGUUCAAUCUUCCUAAUGAACACAGAAGUAAAAAUUUUCAAUAAGAUACUGUCAAACAGAAUGCAGAAAAUCAUUAAAAGAUUAUACUCCAUGACCAAGUAGAAUUCAUUCCAGGAACGCAGAGAUGUUUCAGCAAUGUAAAUCAAUGUAAUACAAUUAUCAAAACAAGUAAAAACAAAAAUCACUUUAUCACUUCAAUAAAUGCAGAAAAAAAGCUUUUGAUAAAAUCCAUUACUCAUUCAUGAUAAAAAAAAACUCUACUAAAAAUUGGAAUAGAUGAUCUUUACAUCAAAGACAAACCAACAACCAGCACCGUAUUAAAUGGGCAGAGACUGAGAGCUUUCACUCUAAAAUCAGAAAUAAGACAAGAAUGUCCACUAUUACCAUUCCUUUUCAAUAUAGUUCUGGAAAUAUUAACCACAGCAAUUUUACAAGAGUAAGAAAUAAAAAGAAAGAAUAGGACAGGAAGAUGUUAAAUUAUCAUUAUCCACAGGUGAUGUGAUACUAUAAUUAGAAGACUUGAAAAACUCCACCAAAAGACAUCUACAGUUAAUAAUCAAGCUCAGUAGCAUAGCUAUAUACCAAGUCAACACUCAAAAAUUGAUAGCAUUCCUAUACAGAAACAACAAUCUCAUUGAAAGAGAUAAUAGAGAAAUCACACCCUUCACAAUAGUUUCUCAAAAAAUGAAAUAUUUAGGAAUCAAUCUAACAAAGGAAAUAAAAGAUCUUUACAUUAAAAAUUACAGUACUCUGUAAAAGGAGAUUGAAAAGGAUAUUAGAAAAUUGAAAUAUAUCCCUUGCUCAUGGAUAAGAAGAAUCAACAUAGUGAAAAUUGCCCUACUCCCAAAAUUGUUAUACAGAUUCAGUGCAAUCCCAACCCAAACACCAUUAGCUUAUCUCAUAGAGCAAGAGAAAAUAAUCAUAAAAUCCAUUUGAAGCCAGAAUAGACCUGGAAUAGCAAAAGUAAUUCUGGAUAACAAACCAAGGCAAGUGGUAUCAUAAUCCUUGAUUUGAAAUGCUACUACAAUGCUGCCAUGAAAAAAGCAGCAUGAUAAUGACAAGAAAACAGACACAAGGGUCAGAAAAAUGUACUAAAGAUGUAGAAAAUCUUCAAAUACACGCAUCCACUUUAUCUUUGACAAAAGGUCCAAACAUAUUCCCUGGAAGAAUGAUAGCCUCAUUAAUAAAUGGUGCUAGAAAAACUGACUCUCUGCAUCCUAUCAGCAUGCACUAAACUAAAGUCAAAAUGGAUCAAAGAUCUAAAUAUUAAAACAGAAAUACUAAAUCUAUUGGAAAAGAAAUAGGUAAAAAUUUGGAAGACAUAGGUGUAGGAAGUUUUCAUGAACAAAACUCAAGCUGCAUGGGAAAUACUUCAAAGAAUCAACAACCAGGAUCUCAUAUUUUUAAAAAACCAUUGCACAUCAAAAGAAAUCACCAAGCUGGGAAUUUAGCUCAGUGACACGCAUGCCUGCCUGAGACAUAUGAGGUCAUGAGUUCGAGACCCAGUACCAAAAAAAAAAGAAAAGAAAAGAAAAGAAAUUACCAACUGUCAGAAGAGACAACUCACAGUGGAAACAAUUUUAGCCAACUAUCACUCAAACAAUGAAUUUUUACCUAAAUCAUAUAAAGAAUAAAAAAAUCAAAUCCUCCAAAUUCAAAGACCUAAUCCAAAAAUAAGCAUCUGAGAUGAACAAAACUAUCUCAACUGAAGAAAUAUACAUAAUAUACAAAUAAAUAUACAAGAAUAUACAUAAAAUGUUCAACAUCAUUGAUCAUUUGAAAGAUGCAAAUUAAAAUGCCACUGAGGUUCCAUCUCACCCUAGAAAAAAUGGCUACCAUCCAGAACUCAACCAACAACAAAUGUCAGCAGGAUUUUGAAGAAAAAGAAACCCUUCUCCACUGUUAGGAGGUUAGACUUGUGUAACCACCAUGGAAACCAGCGUGGUGAUUCUUCAGAAAACCACGGUUACAGGUCCCAUUUGACUCAGCUAUCCCCCUCCUGGAUACUUCCCCAGAAGAAUGAAAAACAUCAUACCACAAUGACAUAUAUGGAGCCAUAUUUGUAGCAGCACUGUUUUGUUUUUUUGGUUUUUUUUUUUUUUUUUUUUUUGGUUUUUUUGUCUUUUUCCUUUUUAUCGGUACCAGGGAUUGAACUCACGACUGCCUGCUUGCAAGGCAGGCGAUUAUGCUGCUGAGCUAAAUCCCUAGCAAUGUUUGUAAUAGCUAGAUCUUGGAAACAACACAAAUUCCCAUCAACCGAGGAACUGAUAAAAAGGAUGCGAUAUUUUCAUACAACUGGGUACUACUCAAAGAUAAAGAUAAACUUGGGACUUUUAUAGGUAAAUGGGUGCAAUUUGAAACCUACUCAUAAGUGAAAUAAAUCAGACUCAGGUGUAUAAACAUCAUAUUGGCUUCCUAGUGUAAGAAGCUAAAACAAUAAUAAGAUUCAAAAAGAAAAAGAAACUGGGAUAGGAGAACAAGAAAAGUAAGGGAAAUUGCAAAAUAAAUAAAUAAAUCUAUAGAUAGACACAAGAUAGUCAUACUGUUAAUUUCAUUUAAUUCAUUGAAAAUAAAUAUUUGUGCCUGUAUUACUUGAUCAAUUUUUUAUUCCUUAUUCUUAUAAUAUGAGCCACUAUUUUGAAGAUAACAUUAUGCAAUGUAUUAACAUUGUUACUCUCUUAGUAUCUUGUUUCCAAAUAUUAUAACACAAUUUUCAUUGUUUUUUCUUUCAUAUAAAAAAGGAAAAACUUCCAAGCAUUCAUUUUUGUUUCAAGAAUGUAUUUGUUUUAUUUUGUUUUUUUAUGCUUACCUUUGAUUUUAUUUUUUUUUCUCUUUGCCUCUGUUUUCUUACUACCACUUUUAUUCUAGGACAGAAAGUGUUUCAGAACUAUCUAAAAUUACAUAAGCCAAUUGGGGCUUCAAGUUAUUCUGAGACUUCUUCAUUAUUCAAUAUAGAAUACAAGGUUCUUGAAAUAUUUGUGAACAAAAAAAUUCAUAAACAGUUUUUAAAAGGAUAGACAGACAUGGCGUGUUUGAGGGGUUUUGUUGUAAAUUACAUUGGAAUAAAAGUGCUUGUGCUAUUUUGCAGCUUAUGCAAAUUUUUGUUACCUGUAACUUAGAAAAGGGUGUUUUUAUUGUGAUAUAAUGUGGCCUGAAUGACUAAAUCCUCACUCAGUUUUAUGAAACUGUCCUUAAAUGGAUUAUUUGGAAUAAAUUUGACCAGGAUAAUAGUUUCUUUCCUGUCCCUUUUCUAGAUUAGUGACUAGUACAAGGAUGUGCUUUGUGUAUCCAGUAACUAUUAAACUAUUUGCCUAA